rnacentral:tRNA from 1 species
CAUGAUGUAGCUUAUCUACAUAAAGCAUCUGGCCUACACCCAGAAGACUCCACACCAACGGACAUCAUGA